rnacentral:rRNA from 1 species
CCUACGGGUGGCAGCAGUGGGGAAUAUUGCACAAUGGGGGAAACCCUGAUGCAGCGACGCCGCGUGAGCGAUGAAGUAUUUCGGUAUGUAAAGCUCUAUCAGCAGGGAAGAAAAUGACGGUACCUGACUAAGAAGCACCGGCUAACUACGUGCCAGCAGCCGCGGUAAUACGUAGGGGGCAAGCGUUAUCCGGAUUUACUGGGUGUAAAGGGUGCGUAGACGGGUUGGCAAGCCAGAUGUGAAAGGCUGGGGCUCAACCACAGGACUGCAUUUGAAACUAUCAUGCUAGAGUGUCGGAGAGGCAGGCGGAAUUCCUGGUGUAGCGGUGAAAUGCGUAGAUAUUAGGAGGAACACCAGUGGCGAAGGCGACGAUCUGGCAUGCAACUGACGCUCAGUCCCGAAAGCGUGGGGAGCAAAUAGGAUUAGAUACCCCGGUAGUC